rnacentral:rRNA from 1 species
UACGUAGGGUGCAAGCGUUGUCCGGAAUUAUUGGGCGUAAAGAGCUCGUAGGCGGUUUGUCGCGUCGAAUGUGAAAACCCGAAGCUCAACUUCGGGCGUGCAUCCGAAACUGCCCGACUAGAGGUAGGUAGGGGAGAUCGGAAUUCCUGGUGUAGCGGUGAAAUGCGCAGAUAUCAGGAGGAACACCGGUGGCGAAGGCGG